GGCAGUUUUGCAGUUAUCGGAUGGUUUCUUUCCCAUCCCCACUCUCCCGUGAUUUCAGGCAUCGGUUUCUCCUCCACGCCCAUAAAACUUCUUCUAUGUUCAAUUAUCAUUCCAACUUUGGUAUCAUUAUUUCUCAUUCGCUUACAAUGAUGAAGAUCACGAAGAAGUGAAGUUUAGGAGCUCACAUUUGAAGAGCUUGGAUUAGAUCCUUAUCUAAUUCGUACCUUAACAAAGAAAAACAUUGAAAAAGACUUGAAAUUGGAGAUGACGGUUAUUCUUCCUUAAAAGAAUUGAAAUUGGAGAUCAAGAAUAAAGAUGAUGUUAAUGGCAGUUUAUCACUUUGUUUUUGGCUUUAUCUACCUGUAGAUUCAUCUUCUUUUCCUUCAAACAUUCUUUAUCAGCACAAUUCGGCUAUAAACAGCAGUGCCCCAUUUCUCGCGUUGAUUGCGAAUAAAGAAAUGGUGCUUUACCCUAUUCAUUUUAUAGCUCAAGAAGCAACAAAUUCUGACGAGACAGAAAUUCUGUGUGCAAAAUCGAAAAUUGAAGUGCCUCUUAACAAAUGGGUUCACAUUGAUUGAUUCUACGGAUAUUAUGCGACUUUACAUUAAUGGCGAGAUUACGGGAGAGAUGUAUGCAACGUGCACUUCUGACAGUUUGAAAAACAUUUCUUUAUUUGGGGCUGAUGAAGAUGAUCUGAUUGAGGGUUACGCCGUUUUCGCAGUAAUAAUGCUCGGAUUACCUUUAUGCCCUUUGUUUUCAUAGUUAUUGUUGUUGUUUUAUGUUGUUAGGACCCUCCAUUGCAACUACACGUAAGAUGGUUUGAAUGGCACUGGUAUCGAAGAAGAUACCGGUGGUGCGUGGAUUGUCGUUGGUGGAAAGGUGGUGGAGGGUACUAGUGGUGGGUGGAGGAGCUGUAGGUUACUCUGCAGUUCAGCUGGCUAUGCAGUUACAACUACAUGUUAAAGUGAAAACAUAGACCGUCUUUUGGCAGUUGGUGCUGAAUAGGAACUCGACUACAUAUAAGAGCGGACCAUGUGUAUUAUACAAGCUUUGUAAGCAAGUUCUAUUUUGAAAUGUCAAGGUAAAUAAACGUUGUCCAUUGCCCAAAUUGGUAAAAUUAGGAGCCGUCGGCCACUGGUGUUCACCGCCACUACCACGGUUGACGAUUGCGAGAAGUGGGCACCGCCAUUCGACCAUAAUCUGGAAAUUCAUUCGCUUGGCUUGGAGCAUAGUCAAUCUAUCUCACUCUUGGUAAUCGGUUUUGUUUCUCAAAGCCCUAAUUAGAGACUUUGUUAGGUGUUUGUGUUGUUUUGAUGAUAUCUUUAUAUUUUCGAUACCGGUUUAGGGUUACACGGCUGAAUUUCUUAAGUUACAGUUUGCUUGGUAUGUCUCUGUUUUGAAUUUGUUGGCCAUUAUGGAAAUUGAUGGGAUGUGUAUAGAAUUUAGGUCUGUUGUAUAACUUACAUUAUGCCUGUUAUAGUUCCAGUCAUGUUCUUGUGCUUCCAUGGCUUUCUGAAUCAUAACAAGUUGUCUGUCAUGCCGCCAAGAUCCAUGGCAUUUUUUUAUCUUCAAUUCACUCCACCCAGUGCAAGAAUUUGUUUCAUUUGUGAGAUGAAGGCUACUGAGCAUCCCGGUGCCGUUGUCGAUGAAGAUGUUCAAUCUGUGGUUAUCGCCAGAUUGGUGGGAAGAACUUAACGAAUCAAGGAACUCAAAAAUUGGCGAAUUUUGUACAACUGGCCUCACUCCUCACUGUUAACUUUUGUGGAUUCUCUCAAGGCUUUUGAGGGAGGUAUUGUGUGUGUCAACCGUUCACAUCCAUGCUUCUCUCAAGCUCCAUGGGGUUGGAAAAAGCAUAGCGAUUUUGGCUGUGAACUUGAGAAUGGGAACUUGAGAAUUACUUGAGCGUGAAGAAGCCUUGGGGUUGGUAUACACCUCCAUCUUCUAAGACUAAAGGGUAUGGGGGCCGGCUUAGGCCCGGCCUGGCCCGACGCCGGUCCCCCACACCGCCCCCCUGCCCCGUUCCGGCUUCUCCGUCGCCCAGCAGACGGUCUCGACGGGCCUCUCCUCCACACACCAAGCUAUA